rnacentral:pre_miRNA from 1 species
GUUUACGUGUGUGUGGAUGGUGUUCAGCACUAAGGACAGGUUUGUUUACCUGUGUGUGGAUUGUGUUCAGCACCAAGGAGAUAGGUGUGUUUUUGU